UACGAAGGGUGCAAACGUUGCUCGGAAUUAUUGGGCGUAAAGCGCACGUAGGCGGCUAUCUAAGUCGGAUGUGAAAUCCCUCGGCUUAACCAAGGAAGUGCACCCGAAACUGGAUAGCUUGAGUACAGAAGAGGAUUGCGGAAUUCCCGGUGUAGAGGUGAAAUUCGUAGAUAUCGGGAGGAACACCAGUGGCGAAGGCGGCGAUCUGGGCUGAUACUGACGCUGAGGUGCGAAAGCGUGGGGAGCAAACAGG
rnacentral:rRNA from 1 species